rnacentral:sRNA from 1 species
GAGCUAUUGAAAUAGCCCAGGAGACUGC